rnacentral:misc_RNA from 1 species
UCUGGCUUACGGCCAAGCGGUCUCACUAGAGUCCCCAACUAAAUGAUGGUAACUAGUGACGAGGGUUGCGCUCGUUGCGGGACUUAACCCAACAUCUCACAACACGAGCUGACGACAGCCAUGCAGCACCUGUCUCCGCGUCCCCGAAGGGAACCCCUAGUUUCCUAGGAUAGCGCGGGAUGUCAAGCCUGGGUAAGGUUUUUCGCGUAGCAUCGAAUUAAACCACAUGCUCCACCGCUUGUGCGGGCCCCCGUCAAUUCCUUUGAGUUUUAAUCUUGCGACCGUACUCCCCAGGCGGGAUACUUAACGCGUUAGCUACGUCACCGAAACAAUUAGGUAUUCCGACGACUAGUAUCCAUCGUUUAGGGCGUGGACUAC